rnacentral:rRNA from 1 species
UACGUAGGGUGCGAGCGUUGUCCGGAAUUAUUGGGCGUAAAGGGCUCGUAGGCGGUUUGUCGCGUCGGGAGUGAAAACCUCGGGCUUAACUCGGGGCUUGCUUUCGAUACGGGCAGACUAGAGGUAUGCAGGGGAGAACGGAAUUCCUGGUGUAGCGGUGGAAUGCGCAGAUAUCAGGAGGAACACCUAUAGCGAAGGCAGCUUGCUGGGACGUUACUGACGCUAAGGCGCGAAAGCGUGGGGAGCGAACAGG